AUUGAACGCUGGCGGCAGGCCUAACACAUGCAAGUCGAGCGGAAGAAGGGAGCUUGCUCCUGGAUUCAGCGGCGGACGGGUGAGUAAUGCCUAGGAAUCUGCCUGGUAGGGGGGGAUAACGUCCGGAAACGGGCGCUAAUACCGCAUACGUCCUGAGGGAGCAAGUGGGGGAUCUUCGGACCUCACGCUAUCAGAUGAGCCUAGGUCGGAUUAGCUAGUUGGUUGGGUAAAGGCCUACCUAGCGGACGAUCGGUAACUGGUCUGAGAGGCUGAUAAGUCACACUGGAAGUGAGACGGGGUCCAGGCGCCUAAGGGAGGCAGCAGUGGGGAAUAGUGGGCAGCGGGGGAGAGUAUUACCCAGCCAUGCGGCGUGUGUGAAGAAGGUCUUGGGAUUGUAAAGCACUUUAAGUUGGGGGGAAGGGCAGUAAGUUAAUACGUUGCUGUUUUGACGUUACUAACAGAAUAAGCACCGGCUAACUACGU
rnacentral:rRNA from 1 species